rnacentral:rRNA from 1 species
GAUGAACGCUGGCGGCGUGCCUAAUACAUGCAAGUCGAGCGAACGGACGAGAAGCUUGCUUCUCUGUUGUUAGCGGCGGACGGGUGUGUAACACGUGGAUAACCUACCUAUAAUACUGGUAUCACUUCGGGAAACCGGCGCUAAUACCGUAUGAUAUUUUGAACCGCAUGGUUCAAAGGUAAAAGACGGUCUUUCUGUCACUUAUCGCUGCAUCCGCGCUGCAUUAGCUAGUUGGUACGGUAACGGCCUACCAAGGCAACGAUGCAUAGCCGACCUGAGAGGGGGAUCGGCGACACGGGAAGUGAGACAGGGUCAAGACGACUGAGAGAGGCAGCAGAAGGGAAUGGGAGGCAAUGGGCGAAAGCAUGACGGAGCAGGGCCACGUGAGUGAUGGAGGUGUUCGGAUCGUAAAACUCUGUUAUUAGGGGAGAACAGAUGUGGAAGGAGACGAAGAGAGAGUGACGGUACCGAAUCAGAAAGCAACGGCUAACUACGUG